rnacentral:rRNA from 1 species
CCUACGGGUGGCAGCAGUGGGGAAUAUUGCGCAAUGGGCGAAAGCCUGACGCAGCGACGCCGCGUGAGGGAUGCAGGUCUUCGGAUCGUAAACCUCUGUCAGCAGGGAAGAACGGUCACUGUGCUAAUCAGCAGUGCAUUGACGGUACCUGCACAGGAAGCACCGGCUAACUCCGUGCCAGCAGCCGCGGUAAUACGGAGGGUGCGAGCGUUAAUCGGAAUUACUGGGCGUAAAGCGCUCGUAGGCGGUAUGUCAAGUCAAGGGUGAAAUCCCCGCGCGAAACGUGGGAACUGCCUUUGAAACUGGCAAACUGGAGUGUGUGAGAGGAUAGUGGAAUUCCAGGUGUAGGAGUGAAAUCCGUAGAUAUCUGGAGGAACAUCAGUGGCGAAGGCGACUAUCUGGCACAUAACUGACGCUGAGGAGCGAAAGCGUGGGUAGCAAACAGGAUUAGAUACCCUAGUAGUC